AUACGUAGGUGGCAAGCGUUGUCCGGAAUUAUUGGGCGUAAAGCGCGCGCAGGUGGUUCCUUAAGUCUGAUGUGAAAGCCCACGGCUCAACCGUGGAGGGUCAUUGGAAACUGGGGAACUUGAGUGCAGAAGAAGAAAGUGGAAUUCCAAGUGUAGCGGUGAAAUGCGUAGAGAUUUGGAGGAACACCAGUGGCGAAGGCGACUUUCUGGUCUGUAACUGACACUGAGGCGCGAAAGCGUGGGGAGCAAACAGGAUUAGAUACCCUGGUAGUCCACGCCGUAAACGAUGAGUGCUAAGUGUUAGAGGGUUUCCGCCCUUUAGUGCUGCAGCUAACGCAUUAAGCACUCCGCCUGGGGAGUACGGCCGCAAGGCUGAA
rnacentral:rRNA from 1 species